rnacentral:rRNA from 1 species
CCCCUAGAUGCUCUGGGCCGCACGCGCGCUACACUGAACAGUUCAACAAGUCUUAACCUUGGCCGAUAGGUCUGGGUAAUCUUUGAACGCUGUUCGUGAUUGGGAUAGACCUUUGCAAUUAUGGGUCUUCAACGAGGAAUUCCUAGUAAACGCAAGUCAUCAGCUUGCAUUGAUUACGUCCCUGCCCUUUGUACACACCGCCCGUCGCACCUACCGAUUGAAUGGUCCGGUGAAAUCUCGGGACGGCGGCUCGGUCGCUUGCGUCCGACUGCUGAAACUUGAUUAAACCAUAUCAUUUAGAGGAAGGUGAAGUCGUAACA